GAUGACAGAUAAAAUGACAGGGAUGAAGAUGAUACAUAGUCCAGAUCUAAGCAGUCCUCCUUCUCUGGGAUAGUCCCAUGUGAAGUGAUUACCUGAUGAAGGAUAGCUCUCCCUCCCUCAGUGGCUUUAUACAUAAUGUUCAGUACUUACUGUAAAAUCUGACUUGGGGGCAGGAAUGAAAUCAACUUCUGUAAGAUGCUGAAGGCCACCAAAGUUGCUGAAUUUUUCAUGUUUCCUCCACUUUGCUCGCUGAUUCUGGAACCAGAUCUGGAUAGAGGCCCUUGGAACGUCCUUGUGCUCCCGGACUGAUUUAAUGUUAACACUGAUGAUCCAAAGUGCUUCUCAAGUAGCUUCUUAAGAACUACUGGAG